ensembl:lncRNA
AUUUACUCCACUAUUUACUUUGUCUCUGUGAGCUUCAUGAUGAGGUCUCCUGAAAUGUAGUAAAAGUUAAAAAUGUCCACUGGAGAAAAAGUUGUAGGAGUGAAGACGUUUUGCUGCUCAUCCAAAGCUAUCCUCAGACCCAAAGCAAACAACGGAAACAAAGAGAGCAAUAGAGCUAGUCAUUAGACCCAUCAAGGCUGAAUUUAGGCCCAUUAAGGCUGAAUUUAGGCUCAUUAACGCUGAAUUUAGGCCCAUUAAGGCUGAAUUUAGGCCCAUUAACGCUGAAUUAAGGCCCAUUAAUGCUGAAUUUAGGCCCAUUAAGGCCCAUUAACGCUGACUUUAGGACCAUUAAGGCUGAAUUUAGGCCCAUUAACGCUGAAUUUAGGCCCAUUAACGCUGAAUGAAGGCCCAUUAACUCUAAAUUUAGGACCAUUAACGCUGAAUUUAGGACCAUUAAUGCUGAAUUUAGGCCCAUUAACGCUGAAUUAAGGCCCAUUAACGCUGAAUGAAGGCCCAUUAACGCUGACUUUAGGACCAUUAAGGCUGAAUUUAGGCCCAUUAACGCUGAAUUAAGGCCCAUUAACGCUGAAUUAAGGCCCAUUAACGCUGAAUUAAGGCCCAUUAACACUGAAUUUAGGACCAUUAAUGCUGAAUUUAGGCCCAUUAACGCUGAAUUUAGGCCCAUUAAGGCUGAAUUUAGGCCCAUUUAGGCUGAAACUGUAAACAAUACCUUCGGUUUUUACUCUGGAUCAGACCUGGACGACUGAGAGAUUACGCAGACGUCUCCUGAAAUGGUUUUUGCGUCACAGCUGCGCCACGUCAGGGUCAAGAAAUACCAAGUCUCCAAAGCAGUGAUCAAAGUAAAAAGUGGCUAUUUUGAGUUUAUUUUUUGUUUACUACAUUCCAUAUGUGUCCAUUCAUAGUUUUGACGUCCUCAGUGAUAAUCCACAAUGUAAAUAGCAAUAAAAAUAAAUUGACUGGUCGUAAUGAAAUGUUUUUUUAGCACGGUUCAUGGGGAUGGGACCAGAUCUCGUGCCACAAAACCUUGAGAGACAAAUUUACCCCAAGAUCGUGCACGCAUGAGAAAACUAUCUCGUGAGAUUUUUUCCCCUUGUGUUUAGGGGAACUUUGGAUUGAGAAAAAGGGAUAAACCCCGGUGAGAUACAUUUCUUUAGAAGCUGUAGUUCCAGAAAGUGCUGCAACAAUGAGAACAAAGAUAUUAAAGGUCCUAUAUUACUCAAAAUUGACUCUUGUGAGC